UAUCAAUAUCUGCUCCCGCUAACCAAGACCUAUGGGAGGAUAAAUUACGUCGUCAUAUCCAGUAGUGAGGGAGUACUGGAAAUAAGUUUCGCAU
rnacentral:ncRNA from 1 species